CGGUACUAGAAAUUUAUUGCGCCAAGCCAAGAAAAAUAUUCCUGCGACUGACAGGAAUGACGCCUUAGAUCAUGCGGGGGAAUAAAGAAUGACGCUCCGAGCCAAUCGCUUUGUUGCAAAGCUAUCGCCCAUAUGGCGACAUCCUCGGCCGCUUGCCAGCUGAUCGUCUUCCAACCAGGAUUUGAGUAAAGGGGAUCCGUAAUCGUCAGUUGAGUGAACUUCCUCUGGAUCGCCAGCCGAGCUGCAUCCCUCAGGAUGAUAUGGAGACAAAGGUAACUCCUUUGCAGCUCGCAUUAGCUACAGUUAGCAAGGAAACACGCUCCUUCAAUUCUUGUUACAUAAAAACAUAAUUUAGUCCCACUAGUUCACAUUACAAUGUAACAUCUGUUGCCAAUACUGAUUUGAAUUUUCCAUUUCAUCCAUCUUGCAGGAAUUCAACACCCGCGAGUCAAACGUCUUUUAGGAUUGCGACAAAGUUAUGCAUCCAGCAGACGUUCGACCCCAUUCCAGUAUGCAGUGAAGACAAAAAAGGUUGUGCUUCGAGCAGAAGUAGGGACUGGUUUCAAGGACAAUGACAACCACACAAGAUCACAUUCACC